rnacentral:rRNA from 1 species
UACGAAGGGGGCUAGCGUUGUUCGGAAUCACUGGGCGUAAAGGGCGCGUAGGCGGCCUUCUAAGUCGAACGUGAAAUCCCCGGGCUCAACCCGGGAACUGCGUCCGAUACUGGAAGGCUUGAAUCCGGGAGAGGGAUGCGGAAUUCCAGGUGUAGCGGUGAAAUGCGUAGAUAUCUGGAGGAACACCGGUGGCGAAGGCGGCAUCCUGGACCGGCAUUGACGCUGAGGCGCGAAAGCCAGGGGAGCAA